rnacentral:rRNA from 1 species
GCAAGUCGAACGGUAACAUUUCUAGCUUGCUAGAAGAUGACGAGUGGCGGACGGGUGAGUAAUGCUUGGGAAUUUGCCUUUGCGAGGGGGAUAACAGUUGGAAACGACUGCUAAUACCGCAUAAUGUCUUCGGACCAAACGGGGCUUCGGCUCCGGCGCAAAGAGAGGCCCAAGUGAGAUUAGCUAGUUGGUAAGGUAAUGGCUUACCAAGGCGACGAUCUCUAGCUGUUCUGAGAGGAAGAUCAGCCACACUGGGACUGAGACACGGCCCAGACUCCUACGGGAGGCAGCAGUGGGGAAUAUUGCACAAUGGGGGGAACCCUGAUGCAGCCAUGCCGCGUGUGUGAAGAAGGCCUUCGGGUUGUAAAGCACUUUCAGUUGUGAGGAAAAGUUAGUAGUUAAUACCUGCUAGCCGUGACGUUAACAACAGAAGAAGCACCGGCUAACUCCGUGCCAGCAGCCGCGGUAAUACGGAGGGUGCGAGCGUUAAUCGGAAUUACUGGGCGUAAAGCGCACGCAGGCGGUUUGUUAAGCUAGAUGUGAAAGCCCCGGGCUCAACCUGGGAUGGUCAUUUAGAACUGGCAGACUAAAGUCUUGGAGAGGGGAGUGGAAUUCCAGGUGUA